AAAAAGUGACAGGACUGAAACAUAUACUUUGUUUUAUAUGUUUUAUACUUUGAAACAUUUCGCCGGAUUUGAGUUUUUAAUAAAGUCU